GGGUGACUAGUCUAGUGGUCAGGACGCUUCGUUGUGGAGAGAUCCAUAGCGUAACCGAAGAAACCCCGGUUCGAUUCCGGGGUCGCCCA